AAAGUCGUAACAAGGUCUCCGUUGGUGAACCAGCGGAGGGAUCAUUAUAGAGUCUACAAAACUCCCAAACCCAUGUGAACAUACCUAUCGUUGCCUCGGCAGGUCGCGCCCUGAGACCCGCUACGACCCCCCCUUACGGGGAGGCCCUAUGCGGGAGGACUGGACGCGGUUACCGCCUGCCGCUGGCCUGACAAACUCUGUUUAAUACUGAAAAUCUGAACAACAAACUUAAUAAGUUAAAACUUUCAACAACGGAUCUCUUGGUUCUG
rnacentral:misc_RNA from 1 species